CCACACGAAAUCGAAGAGUACUUGUUACCCGCUUAAAAUUUCGGCGCGAAAAAUUGCUAAAGGACAAAACUAUUUUGCAGCUUAGGUCUUAUAUAUCCUGGGAUCUAUAUAUCCACUAAUUUUAGUAGAAUAUAACAUCCU